rnacentral:rRNA from 1 species
GAUGAACGCUGGCGGCGUGCCUAAUACAUGCAAGUCGAGCGAACAGACGAGGAGCUUGCUCCUCUGACGUUAGCGGCGGACGGGUGAGUAACACGUGGAUAACCUACCUAUAAGACUGGGAUAACUUCGGGAAACCGGAGCUAAUACCGGAUAAUAUAUUGAACCGCAUGGUUCAAUAGUGAAAGACGGUUUUGCUGUCACUUAUAGAUGGAUCCGCGCCGCAUUAGCUAGUUGGUAAGGUAACGGCUAACCAAGGCAACGAUGCGUAGCCGACCUGAGAGGGUGAUCGGCCACACUGGAACUGAGACACGGUCCAGACUCCUACGGGAGGCAGCAGUAGGGAAUCUUCCGCAAUGGGCGAAAGCCUGACGGAGCAACGCCGCGUGAGUGAUGAAGGUCUUCGGAUCGUAAAACUCUGUUAUUAGGGAAGAACAAAUGUGGAAGUAACUAUGCACGUCUUGACGGUACCUAAUCAGAAAGCCACGGCUAACUACGUG